rnacentral:rRNA from 1 species
AACGAACGCUGGCGGCGUGCUUAACACAUGCAAGUCGAACGGUAAGGCCCUUCGGGGUACACGAGUGGCGAACGGGUGAGUAACACGUGGGUGGUCUGCCCUGCACUUCGGGAUAAGCCUGGGAAACUGGGUCUAAUACCGGAUAGGACCACUGCCUGCAUGGGUGGUGGUGGAAAGCUUUUGCGGUGUGGGAUGGGCCCGCGGCCUAUCAGCUUGUUGGUGGGGUGAUGGCCUACCAAGGCGACGACGGGUAGCCGGCCUGGGAGGGUGACCGGCCACACUGGGGCUGAGAUACGGCCCAGACUCCUACGGGAGGCAGCAGUGGGGAAUAUUGCGCAAUGGGCGCAAGCCUGAUGCAGCGACGCCGCGUGAGGGAUGACGGCCUUCGGGUUGUAAACCUCUUUCAGCACCGACGAAGCGCAAGUGACGGUAGGUGCAGAAGAAGGACCGGCCAACUACGUGCCAGCCGCCGCGGUAA